rnacentral:lncRNA from 1 species
AACUCUAACACACAUAUGCUGGUAAGGGUUUCAGGAUAGGAUUUUUCUGCAGUAUGUCAUUUGGUCCUAUGAAGAAUUGUCUGUUCAAAUGUUGGAGUAUUUGACUGAAAAUUCCUUAAUAACUCUUUUAAAGCCCAAGGGAAUAAAAUCCACUCACAAUUCUACAAAAGGAAUCUAUUUAUAACCUAUAAACUGAAUAGGCGGCAACUGAUCUACCUAUAGAAUCAAGAAAGGUAUUUUAUAAUGAUUAGAAGUAUCGAUUCUUUCUGCUAAUCACCGGGUGAUUUCCUGUAAAACCCAUAUCUUGCUGUUUGUGAAUAAGGUAUAUUCACAUCUGUUACCAUGUGUGGGUUAACAUUCAGAUAGAGAAGACCUCAGUUCAAGCAAAUUGAGUGCAGGAGAAUUCCUAGUACGGUGGAGAGGGCUGUGUUUGUGUGCAGAAGAUAUAAAGGGUGAGGUUAUCAGUAAGCAUCUCAGGCUGAGGGAAAGUAGUGAGGGUAGGAGUGCAUAAACACAGUUCUCCUAGACUUUAGUAAUCAGCCAUAGGAAGAAAACUAAAGAAUUUUGAAGAAAUGUUCUAACAUUAUUACGAUCAUUGGUAGGUAGGUAGAAGGCAGAGAAGAGAGAAG